UAAUACUGCAGUCGAGCGGACAGAAGGGAGCUUGCUCCCGGAUGNUAGCGGCGGACGGGUGAGUAACANGUGGNUAACCUGCCUGUAAGACUGGGAUAACUCCGGGAAACCGGAGCUAAUACCGGAUAGUUCCUUGAACCGCAUGGUUCAAGGAUGAAAGACGGUUUCGNCUGUCACUUACAGAUGGACCCGCGGCGCAUUAGCUAGUUGGUGAGNUAACGGCUCACCAAGGCGACGAUGCGUAGCCGACCUGAGAGGGUGAUCGGCCACACNGGGACUGAGACACGGCCCAGACUCCUACGGGAGGCAGCAGUAGGGAAUCUUCCGCAAUGGACGAAAGUCUGACGGAGCAACGCCGCGUGAGUGNNGAAGGUUUUCGGAUCGUAAAGCUCUGUUGUUAGGGAAGAANAAGUGCAAGAGUAACUGCUUGCACCUUGACGGUACCUAACCAGAAAGCCACGGCUAACUACGUGCCAGCAGCCGCGGUAAUACGUAGGUGGCAAGCGUUGUCCGGAAUUAUUGGGCGUAAAGGGCUCGCAGGCGGUUUCUUAAGUCUGAUGUGAAAGCCCCCGGCUCAACCGGGGAGGGUCAUUGGAAACUGGGAAACUUGAGUGCAGAAGAGGAGAGUGGAAUUCCACGUGUAGCGGUGAAAUGCGUAGAGAUGUGGAGGAACACCAGUGGCGAAGGNGACUCUCUGGUCUGUNACUGACNCUGAGGAGCGAAAGCGUGGGGGAGCGAACAGGAUUAGAUACCCUGGUANUCCACGCCGUAAACNAUGAGUGCUNANUGUNNGGGGUUCCGCCCCUUAUGCUGCAGCUAACGCAUUAAGCACUCCGCCUGGGGAGACGGUCGCANGACUGAAACUCAAUGUANUUGANUGGGGCCGNCAAUCUGUGUAAUAUGUUGUUUAAU
rnacentral:rRNA from 1 species